CACGCGUACCCCACUCGCUCUAACUCUCUCUCUCUCUCUCUCUCUCGUUCAUCCCCUUUUAUCCCGUUCUCUGUCGAGCCUUGCGGUCAAGCUCCCCGAUUUGAUGUCGUCCUCCCCAAAUUGGUGCAGCUGGCUGCUCGUCGGCGCUCUCCGAAGCCCGCUCUACCGGCACCCUGCAGUUGUGUUGGCUCGGAGCCAAUGGCUCCUUGUGGUCUGUUGUGCCGUUGCGUCAAACCUAACCCGAGUAUGGGAGUGGGGCACCGAGGCAAGCCGGCAGCUCUGAUUGCGUCGGCGGUUGGCUUCGUGCAGACUUUGCUCCAAGGAAGGCGGUCACGGUCACCCAACCGGCGGGGUCGCUGAGCGGCAGAACCUGAGGUCCCAUCAGCGGUGCUCGGACAAAGGCGUAGCACUCCCCUGAUGCACCGAAACACCUGAUGCUGAGGUUGUUAACUCAUGUAGGAGAAAAAGGAAGAGAAUCAGUACCAUCAGGAGACCUGACGGCCCUGUUGCCAAAAACUGCGCACCUCCAAGUAUACAGCCCCUAAGGAAGGAUUCUGUGCCUCAGUUUGAGAGCAGAUUAUCUAGAGUGAGACUAAGAAACUAUCAUCCGAUCCAGCUUGCUUGCUAUCACGCUGCCGAGUCAGCCUGCUUGCCAUCAUGCUGGGGCAGCAGGCGAGACUAACAUCUACAACCCUUGUUCCCAUAUCAUCCCGGGUCCCGGCGACCAACAGUGGUCCGGUUAGGUAGACAGGCUGGGGAUAUGGCGAAUCAGCAUGGGAAAAUUGCUAAAGAGCGGCAAGGAUGGAUAGCUGAAUACGUUGGAUGAAGCUGGAACCAUGGAUGGCGGUAGGGGCGACAUGGACCGAGGAGCGAAAGGAGAGGGACUGGAGGCCAGCCAGAGGAGGCGAGGCGGCCACUGGCCUCGCUCGGCGGGCCGGCCACCACUCCCUCUCGCCGGAGCCGGGCACCAGGUUGGACCUCGACCUCACCGAACAUGCCGGGAGGAUGUGGGAACCACGUCAGGGAGGCCUGACCACCACUUCAAUCCGGCCGCUCGGCCCCGAAUCAUGCGGAAGAAGGAUGAUGCGUGGGUGUCGGCCGGCCGGUGGCACGGGGAAGCAGACCGGUGGUAGUAGGGCAAAGGCGGCCCGUAAAAAAGUGGGCGCUGGCCAUGGGGAGGAUGAAUACGAAGACCUCGGAAGAAAGAAGAAGAGAGAGGUUGGGUCAAAGUGGAUUUGCUCGAUCGUGCCACCGCUUUUACCGUAACUUCCGGAGAAAAUACGUGGCAACAUAAACUGAUGAAGUUGGCCCGUUGGACGUGCAACCGGUAACCGGUUGCCCAUCCACACAAAAAAAGAGUCACCGGUCAAAUAAAUCAAAUGGGCCAUAAAAAUAGAGGGUACGUGUCCAGCAAUGGUUGAAGGAAAGAGUAGAUAAUUUGUGCAUCUACAGUGCCCGAGCGUGCCUCAAUCAACCAUGAGACGCUAAAAAUGUCCAACUUUUAUAUAGGGUAUAAAUAACAAUUUAAUUAGUAAUGUGUAUGACUAUAAGUUCUUCGUUUUUUCAGUGCCCAUGCGAUAAAGUUGAUAUUUGGUUUGACGCAUCGAAUUCAGAUUUGUAAUCACAAGGACUGUAACAGAGAUAUACUAUCGGCCAUGUUGUUUCCUCUAAUAUAAUACUUCUGUA